rnacentral:lncRNA from 1 species
CGCUGGAGGCAGAAACUGAAUUCUCCUGGCCCGCCGCGAGGAGACCGCGUCCUGCCCCCACCCCAGGUGGGUAUCUGGGAUCCCUACAAGCCAGGAGUCAGGCCCCUAAGCCCAGCAGGAGUGAAACCCCUAGGGCCUGUGAACGUGGCCCUCUCAACGCCACGGCCUGCAUUCCCGCCGGCCCCCCCGCCCGCCCUGCCGCCCCGCAGCAAACGGGGCUGUUUCCGGCUCCCCCAACCCGGUCUGGUUUCCCAGCCUGGGGAGUGGCUGAAGGAGGAGCGGCCCCAGAACCAGGGGUGCUCUCUGCCCGAAGCCCCCAUGGCUCUGGGCGCCUUGUUACCUGAUCUUUGUGUGAUGUGUGUGUCGCAAGGAAAUUUGCAGUGACUUUGGAGCCCAGACUGAGGAAGCGGAGGUGGCGAAAGGAGAGACAAUACGGGCCCGAAGUACAAUUAAGGGGCCAGAGCCGCUAGUCUCUCCCCCGCCCUCCCUGCCAGACUAGGAGCUGUCUGGCCUCAAACCUCAGGGCAACCCGCGAACCUGGAGCCGGAAACUCAGCCCGUGCCGGAGGGAACCAGAGGAUCCGGCAUCCAGAACGUUGGAGGAGAGCUCCCUUCCAACUUGGGGGCGCAGCAACCAGCCCUGCUGUGUUGCGGCGAAUCCAAUGAAUGAAAGUGCACAUUCCGACGAAAAUUCCCGGUUUUUUCAGCUUUUGGAAGGAGAGCCUAGGGUCUGGGACGUCUCAGACAGACAGACAGACAGACAGGCAAACCGCAUCUCCGGAGGCAGACAGACUCACAACAUGAGUGUGAGCCUAAAAUCAAAUGCAGGUUCAACAUUCCCGAGGCCUCUCUGCCAGGCCGGGCAGGCGCCGAUCUCCCUACCUUCUCUCCCCUCCAGGGCGUUGGGCAGAGACCCGGAAGACUCCGUCCCUCUGGCUUGGUCCAAUCCCGCCUCGGGAAGCGCCUUCGUUACCUGCUCCUCGGCUCCCCACGGCCACAGAUGCAGGGCAGCCGCCUCCCGCCGGGGGAGGGAAGCCCCGGCCACCGCAGCCGCCGCCGCUGCCCGCCCUCCUUCCCUCCCUCCCUCUUUCUCGCCCUCCCUCCCUCUCUCCCUCCCUCGCGCGCUGCCGCUCGCGGGGCCCUCCCGCGGGCAACCUGUUCUGGACCAAAUCCAGGUAUCUCCGAAAGAGAGAGAGAGAGAGAGAGAGAGAAGGACCUCUUACGUGGAAAAGAAAGAAAGAAAGACCCUUAACCGCGUUUAUUUUCCAAGCUCUGACCACUGGCCGGCCUCUGUUCAGACGCCCUGGACACGGCCCUGUAGCAGCAGAGGUGUGCGGGGCCUGCUGCCUCGCCCACGCUGACCGCCGCGCCCCUCGCACAGCGCGCUCCACACUCUGGGCCGCCGCCCCCCGGCAGCCCAAACACCAAACAGACCUCAAGGUCCUUCCUACAGACUCAACAUCCGGUCGUCCGCCUCGAGGCUGGCCUCCGCCCGCCCCGGAGCCCGCUCUGCUCCGUCUGCGGCCAAAGUCCACACACAAUCCACCUUGCCCGUGCUCUCGCGCCGGGCCCGGACGCCCCUCCUGGCCGAGGCGCCCGCCGGGCCACACUCGGCCCACGGUCCUGCCCGGGACUGCAAACCUCGUCCCCUGCACGGGACCCACACAAAGCCCAGUGCCCUGACGCUCCCACCCGCAGCCCCCAGUCCCCAGCCGCUGCUGCCCUUCACCUGUUCCCGAGAAAGGCUGCGUCUCCGAGCCGGGGCAAAGCCGUGGGCCUGGGCGGAGGGUGCCGGGGGAACCGGGGAGCCGAGGUCCCAGGGAGGCUACAGAAGAUCCGCCGGGCUAAGCCGGAGCCCCCGCAGCCCGCGAGAUUAUCUCAGAGACCAAAGCUCUCCUUGGCGAGCUCUUGCCUUUUCCUCCGUCUCCCGCAAGUCUUAAACACUCACACGCCGAGAGUUCAGCUCUAUAAAUCCUGCUCCUCUUUCCCAUAUCAUAAUUAAAAAAAACCAGUAGGGGAGGUUUUAACUUUUAUUGCGAUUUCUGGAGUUGGGCUGCGGAGCAUAUAUUAAGUUUACGCUUAUGCGCUCUCGGCGGGGAGGGUCCUUUAAGAAAUAAAAAUCCAUCUUAAUAUCCGC